rnacentral:rRNA from 1 species
GACAGAGGGUGCAAACGUUGCUCGGAAUUACUGGGCGUAAAGCGCGUGUAGGCUGACCGGAAAGUCGGGCGUGAAAGCCCUGGGCUCAACCCAGGAACUGCACUCGAAACUCCCGGUCUAGAGUGGUGGAGAGGGAAGUGGAAUUCCUGGUGUAGAGGUGAAAUUCGUAGAUAUCAGGAGGAACACCAGUGGCGAAGGCGGCUUCCUGGACAACAACUGACGCUGAGACGCGAAAGCGUGGGGAGCAAACAGG